rnacentral:rRNA from 1 species
UACAGAGGGGGCCAGCGUUAUUCGGAAUUAUUGGGCGUAAAGAGCUCGUAGGCGGUUUGUCGCGUCUGCUGUGAAAAUCCAGGGCUUAACCCUGGACCUGCAGUGGGUACGGGCAGACUAGAGUGCGGUAGGGGAGAUCGGAAUUCCUGGUGUAGCGGUGAAAUGCGCAGAUAUCAGGAGGAACACCGGUGGCGAAGGCGGAUCUCUGGGCCGUAACUGACGCUGAGGAGCGAAAGCAUGGGGAGCGAACAGG